UAUAUAUAUAUAUAUAUAUAUAUAUCCUUGAUACAUUUAAGGAAGGACAAGAAUAAGUCAAGCUUGCAUCUUCAAAUAAAACAAAGAUAAAAUAAGGAGUUAAUAAAGCCACACUUCUCUUCCACUUCAUGAUCCAUUUUAUACAUGUUUCAUGUUCACAAUUUUGUUUCUAGCCACUGUCCUUGUCUCUAUUCUGUCUCAAUUGCAUCUUGUGUCAGUUCUACCAUGUCUCAACCCCACCUUGUUUAAAUCCCACUCUAUGUCAAUUCCACCCUAUUCUAAUCCCACCUUGAGCCAAUCCCAUUGUAUUCCAACCCUACCUUGUACCAACUCCACCAUAUCUUAAUUCCACCUUGUGCCAAUCUUAUCCUAUCUCAAUCCCAUCCCUAUC
rnacentral:lncRNA from 1 species